UUUCUAGAUGGAAACCAAAUUUUAGGUCAUCCUUGAAUUCGUUUCAAAACAUAUCUGUUUGGAUACGUUUUCCGGAACUCCUAGUAGAAUAUUUGAUAAGGUCAUAAAAGUAUAUUAUUUUAUUUCAUAAACUCUCGACUUUAUAUUGAUAUUUAAUGGUUUAAAGAUAUAUUAAGUAAUUUUUUUUCCGAGAUACGAACUACUACUAUUUUAUUUAUUUGUCUGUAGGAAGGAAGAUUACGGUUUCAAGUGAUAUUUUAACACCGCUCGGAUCAAAUGAGGCAAGACCCAUAAGCCCAAUCAUCUCACAUCAACCCAUCAAUAUGUGAACAGGUCAUGUGGGUCAUUGAAGUAUACCACUUUACUCUUUCAAAAUAAACAACAAAACAACUUCAGCAAUAAGCAUUACAGGGGCAAAACAAAAAGAAGAAAAAGAUAAGAAGUAGCUCCACUUCUUGCGGAACCAACUCCCAAAAGAAAAGAUAAGCAUGAAAUCAGAUUACUUUGGGAGGAUAUACUCAGAUCUUGGGGCUGACUUUUCGGUGGGAAAAAGGGGAAAAACAGGCUAGAUGAUCGUGAAUUUAGGGGGCGACAUUCUGAGCAGCGAAAUUCAGCAACAAACCAGAAGAAAACUAGCAACAACGAACUCAGGGGAAGUUGAACUCGGCGACAGAGGAACCGAGGUGGUUGUAGUUCUCGGUUUGCUACGAAAUAGGUUGGAAUUUCGUUGAGUUGAAAGUUGUACUUUGGGGGAAAGUUUCUGGGCUGGUUUUAGUUGAAGUAAAUCAGCAGGAAAAAAAGGUUGAACUGAGAGACAUCGCAAGGGAUCUGAAGAGAAGAACUAAGAUAGAAGCUGCGGUGGAGCAGUAUAUUGUUUGUGGGCCUGUUCGCGGUUGUUUCUCCUAUUUUCACUCUAGAAAAAUUGAAAUUUGAAGAAUCAAAGAUUAAGGGAAUUUGCAACAAGGAACCAAGGACUAAUAAAUAUUACCUUUUUCUACGUCUUUUGUAGCUAAAGGACUCGUGCUCAGAUAUUGGAGCAAGCUUGUCAGAUUCCGUUGCCUCUAAGUGAAAGUUCAUCUUCGGAUGAGGAAACUGAAGAAAUUUUUGAGAUGGCUGACCGUACCUUAAAGCAGCUUGAUGUUCCUACCUUUGAUCCUAAUAUGCAUAUUAGAUGGUGAGACAGAAUGUGAAAUCAAGCCUAGACUGAUUAGAGCAUUACCCACAUUUUCAAGCUUCCGCAAUACUAGCUCCUUGGGUUCAGUUUACAUGAAUGAGGCGAACAGAUUCUUGAAAGAAUUUCACAUAGCAUGUGCGGGGAUGAAACCUGCUGACGUAACCCUUGACCAGCUCAAGUUAAAGGCAUUUCCUUUUGCCUUGACUGAUGCUGCCAAGGAGUGGUUGUUCGAACUUCCGGCAGGAACCAUCAUAACCUGGACUUAGAUGCAAGAAAAAUUCAUUGAAAAAUAUUAUCCGGCAUCUCUGGCGACAAACUUUUAGAAAAGAAAUUGUGGGAUUCAACAAGAAGAUGCAGAGACAUUUCAUGAGUAUUGGGAGCGUUUCAUAAAGUUACGAGACAGCUGUCCUAACCAUCAGAUCAGUGAGAAAUUGGUAGUGCAAUAUUUUUAUGAAGGGCUCACGGAGUCGGAUUGGAACUUAAUUGAUGCUGCAAGUGGCGGAGCACUGGUUGAUAAGACACCCGUAGAUGCAAAGAUACGGAUAGCGAACAUGGCAGCAAACUCUCAGUAUCGAGGAGGUCGAAAUAUAAAGUCCACUUUUGUACGUCAAGUUAAUAAAGUGGUGAGUUCUAACCUCGAGCAACAAGUAGCGAGUAAUGAUCGAGAAAGGGCAAGAAAAAGCAUGUGGCAUCUGUUCAAUGGUAGGACACCCAACUGAUAUGUGCCCCACUAUUCAAGAGGAACAAGUGAAUUCUAUUAGCGGUGGUCAGGGGCAGCAAAGACGUUAUGAUCCGUUCUCUCAAAAUUAUAAUCCGGGGUGGAGAGAUCAUCCAAACCUGAUAUAUGGCAAUGUUCAGCAAUAGACAGGCAACUCCAACCUCAGACAACCUAAGCCAUGCAGAACUUAGCAACCUAGCCCAAACAAUAAAUCCAAUUGGAGGAGGAAGAUUUAGAAAAUGCAGAAGAAAAAAACAUUCCUAGAAAAAACCCAAUUCAAGUGAAGAAAAAUCAUAGCAUUAACUCUACUAGUAUUUUAGGAAUGAAGGCUAAUAAAUCCCUUAGAGUUCCGAAGAUUAGCUUCCAAGUUAAAAAGGGCAAUUCUUGUUCAUUUGUUCAAAAUCAAACUUAAAUCGUUAAGGAUGAUCAACAAUCACCUUCGACACAUGAUAGCGAACCUCCAGGUCUCCCAUUCCCGCAAAGCGGUACAAGAGACGAGCUCCCCUCCAUCUAUAAUAGCUCAAGCAAUCAUGCCACCCCCAUCUCUCUCAAAAAUUCCAACCUCCUUCCCACCAUCUCCUCUCAGCCAAGUUCCGCCUGCGAAGCCUCGAUUAAUGCACCAUCUACUCCCCAUAUUCCCAACUCUGAAAUUAUGGCCGACAUUAGCAUGCCCUAUGCAAUUGGAAAAAAAAAAGAAAUUAAACCAUGAGUGUAGCAUUAAAGGUGAUAAUAACCCCUUACAUAUUCCAAUCUCAGUCCGAGUAUGAAUUAAAUCCCCUUCAACCACCAAUGGAAAACCCUCUAACCUUCCUCUUGCAAUUAGAAAGCAUAAUCUUAAAUCUCAUGUUACCUCAAAAUCUCCUAACAUCCUUUGUUUCGGGGAUUGAAGUGAUAGGCUUCAAAUUGAACCUGAACUUUGUAUCGUCGGGGAACUUAACUCUGGAAAUCAAUCUGAUGAUCUCGCCAAUCCUUCUUAUGACGAGUCGAUGUUUAGCUCGGAGUCAAUUCCGUCGUUCCCCCCUUUGCAAUUGCUAAUAUGAAGACAAUUAUGUGGAAUGUUAAAGGUGCAGCGUGUAAGGAAUUUGUCACAUGUUAUGUGCUUAAUUCAAUCUCAUCAUCCUGUUAUACUUAUUAUUUUGGAAACAAAAGCUAAGGAUAGCAGAGCUCAAGAAGUCUGCAAAAAAAUUAGGGUUUAACAGCAAUAGUACAAUCGGUGCUAGGGGUUUGAAGGGUGGUAUUAGGCUUUUCUAGAAGAAGCCAGCAGAAUUGGUGUCCUUGUUUAAGUUUGUCCUAAUAAUCCGGAGGUCCUUAUCACUGGUAUUCAUGCCCCAUCUACAGCUAAAGACAAGAAAAUCUUAUGGAAUGACCUCGAAAAUAAUCUCCCCCCUUCCAACGCCCCUUGGAUGGUGGUGGGAGAUAUGAACGAAGUCCUGAAUCAAUCGGAGAAAAUGGGAGGGAGGCCUGUCACAGCUUCUCAAGGCAGCAACUUUUCAGAUUGGUUUGAUGUUGUCGGUCUUGUUGAUCUUGGUUAUAAUGGGCCAUCUUACACUUGGAAUAAUGGAAGAUAUGGGUUGGAGCUAAUAAGAGAAAGGCUAGACAGAGCACUUGCAAAUGCAACUUAGCUUGAUCUUAAUCCUCAUACCCAGUCAAGUUUGUCUAAAUAGGUUGAUCAAGUGAUCGUAGCUAAAGCAGCUCAAGUGUUUCGAUUAGUAUUUUAUAACAAGUUUGUAAAGUUGUAUAAAUAGCUCACCUAGUUUAUUGGGUUGUA